GAGCCCCGCAACCAGCCCCUCUUCCUGCCCCCUCCCCCGGUCUCUCUCUCCUUGCUCUCCUGGUGGGAUGGAAGGCCCCGGUAACCCUCCUCCCCGGUAGCGGGCGGCGGCCCGAGUCGGUGCAAAAUGCUGGGCAUGUACGUGCCGGAUAGGUUUGCCCUGAAGUCGUCAAAAGUGCAGGACGGGAUGGGGCUCUACACGGCCCGCAGAGUCAAAAAGGGUGAAAAAUUUGGCCCCUUUGCAGGGGAGAAGCGAAUGCCGCAGGAACUGGAUGAGAACACAGACUGCAGGCUCAUGUGGGAAGUUCGUGGGAGUAAAGGUGAGGUCCUUUAUAUCCUGGAUGCAAGCAAUCCACGUCAUUCUAAUUGGCUGCGUUUUGUCCAUGAGGCUCCAUCACAGGAACAGAAGAACCUGGCAGCCAUCCAGGAAGGGGAAAAUAUUUUCUAUCUGGCUGUGGAAGAUAUUGAAACAGACACAGAACUUCUGAUUGGGUACUUGGACAGUGACAUGGAAGAAGAGGAGGAGGAGGAGGAAGAAGUAACUGUUAUCCAGGAAGAUGAAGACAGUGGCAACAAUAAAGAAGUGCAACCAGCUGGUGAAAAAAUUGCAGAUCCCCUUACCUGUAAAGAGGACCAUGCGUGCCCAAACUGUGAGUCCAGUUUUGCCAGCCAGGAGAUUCUAGCUGAACAUCUUCAGACUUUGCACCAAAAACCCAGUGAGGAAAAGGAAUUUAAGUGCAGAAACUGUGGAAAGAAAUUCCCUGUUAAACAAGCUCUACAAAGACAUGUACUUCAGUGCACAGAGAAUGUCAGCCCAGGAGACUCUUCAAGAAGUUUUCAGUGCUCUGUUUGCAAUACUUCCUUCAGCUCAGAAUUGAGUUAUGAACAGCACAAGGAGGCAUGCAGAGGGGACGCCAGAUUCAUAUGCAAGGCAGAUAGCUGUGGGAAGAGGUUCAAGAGUAAGGAUGCCCUGAAAAAACAUAAAGAAAAUGUUCACAGUGGAAAUUCUAGGAAGAAGCUGAUGUGUUCCGUGUGCAAUAAGAAAUGUUCCUCAGCAACAAAUCUCCAAGAGCAUCGAAAGGUCCAUGAAAUCUUUGAGUGUCAGGAAUGUGACAAGAAAUUUAUUUCAGCUAACCAGCUAAAACGCCAUAUGAUAACUCAUUCAGAAAAACGCCCCUACACCUGCGAGGUUUGCAAUAAGUCCUUCAAACGACUUGAUCAAGUGACUGCACACAAAAUAAUACACAGUGAAGAUAAACCUUAUAAAUGCAAGCUUUGUGGAAAGGGAUUUGCCCACAGAAAUGUUUACAAGAAUCACAAGAAGACGCAUUCUGAAGAGAGACCAUUCCAGUGUGAGGAAUGCAAAGCUUUGUUCCGAACCCCAUUCUCUCUACAAAGACAUCUGUUAAUCCAUAACAGUGAGAGGACCUUCAAGUGUGAUCACUGUGAUGCUACUUUCAAAAGAAAGGACACGUUAAAUGUUCAUAUUCAGGUUGUACAUGAUGGACAUAAGAAAUAUAAGUGUGAUCUCUGCGACAAAGCUUUUGUGACACCCUCAGUCCUGAAAAGUCAUAAAAAAACUCACACAGGAGAAAAAGAGAAGAUUUGCCCAUAUUGCGGACAGAAGUUUGCAAGCAAUGGAACACUGAGAGUUCAUAUUCGAAGCCAUACAGCUUGCAGAAGGCCUCAAAGGCAACAGGACUGUUCUCCUCAUAGCAGUCAAAGAGGUAUCACUUUCUUUAUCUGACUGACUGUGAGUGUAGAAUUACAUGUAUAUUUGGUGUUUCUGGGUCUUGUCUCAGCUGUCAUUCACAGAUAUUUUAUCUUUCAGAUCAUAAAGUUGCUUGGUUCUUGGCAUGAGAAAGCUACUCCUGUGUGGAUACUGUUGUACCUUCUAAAGUGCUGAAUUUUGAGUGUUUAAUGUUUGAAAAUCAGGCAGGUCAGAAUUUUGUAUAAGCCAGAUAAGUGUUUUUAUUGUCUACUCCAGAUUAAGACUAGUCCAGGUGUCGUAAAGAGAGCAGCUAGCUGCUGCAGGUGGCCAAGCUUUUUGAUUAUUCUCCCAUUUUUUUCCUUUCUUAGAAUCCCUGGUCAAAAUUAUAAAAACCCUUAAGAGACCUCAGGUAUUAAAUGCUUUUGAAAAUGCUACUUGGUAUCUAGAAACUGCCACCUGUACACAAGAGGAAAUUUAAUAUUUUGAAGAAGUGUUUGUCUUGUCAAGGGCCAUUUGAUGUGCUGUACAACACCAAGGUGGUGAAAUUUAUUGAGUAUUUUCUUGAAGUAUGAAUAUGUAAUCUUCACUCAAUAAAUGGAUUUCUGGCAUUUUCUAAGUUAAGUUCUGUUGAACUCACUUGGUUCCUUGAGUUACUAUUUAGCUUAACUUUAAUUCCUAAAAAGUUCUUUUCAUAUGGGAGAAAUUCAGUUCCGUGUAUCUUUAGGUUACUUUGUGUGGUGUAGAUACUUGUAAGGUGUAUUAAAUUAAUUCUGUACACAAACUUCCUUUUUAAUUUGAUGGGAACACCAUAUACAGAGCAACAGCAGCUGACGAUAAAUGUGUAAAGCUGUCAAGUGCUCUAUAUGAACAGAUAGUGUUCUAAAGCAUAUGUCACAGAUUAUAAUUUUGUUAUAUCUGUUAACCUUUUGCCCAUCCUUACUUGCUGUUGAAUGCUGUCAUCACAGCAGAUUAUCUCUGUCUAAAAAAGCCUUCUUGCAAUUCCCAUUCUGGACUGCCCUGUUGAUCAUCUGGUACGGAGUGUUGCAUGUGUGAUCCAGAUGGCCCCCUUGCCUCCACAUUCCUCUGCAGGUGAGCGUCCUUACCAGUGUCCUUACUGUGACAAAGCUUUCAGCAAGAAUGAUGGAUUGAAGAUGCAUAUUCGCACCCACACAAGG